GAAAUGACCUGCACGUCCUCCGCUUUCCCCGUCGGUCUCCAUCGCCAGAUCUCUCUCCCCCACCCCCUCCCUCGCAACCACCCCGAUGCAUCCUUCUCCAUCGAAGGAUGACGUCUCCCCCGAGACCCGGCGCCGCCUCCUUGUCCGUCGGAACUUUGUCACGCAUCAGGGUCGGGGGUUCUGCGAGCAGCAUCCGCGUCUCGGUUCCUCAUUCUGAUACGUUUCCUCCGAUUUCUCCCCCAGCUCGUUCGCCUUCGCCCGGCACGCCCGCCACGGAGCAGGGAGACGGCAGUGGCGGGGAGGGCAAGCAGUCGACGCGCGCUGAGGUGGGCCGCGUCGCCGCCAUCGCAGUGGGCCCCUCGCCGUCGCCGGGAUCCACGGUCUCCUCCUCCCACGACGACGACGGACGCGACCAAGGUAUUUACCCAGCCGCAUCCUGCUCCCUCCCCGCCUCCUCGUGUUCAGUUCAGAUCAUCCCCUCCUCCGGAUCUCACCCGUGCUCCGGUUCGAUUCGAUCUGGCAGCCCUCCUCUUUUUUUUUGAUUCAUUUAAUUGCUAAUUAACCGGCAACGCCUAAUUAGCCAAUAUGGGCUUGAUUUUUCUUGUCAACGUGGGGGCCUUGGGUGUUAACCCGAUACUUUGCAUGCGGUGGUUCUCUGAUGAGUAAUGCCAUGCAUGCAUCUCUACCAGGUUCGAGAGCGGCAUCACCCCAUUCAGGUUUGCAUGCUCAUCUUGGUCCCAGUUAGAUUAAAUCCCAGUUAUGCCGCUCCAUGAACGUCCCUUGCUGCCGCCCCAUCGAUGAUCCUACACCUUAGUUACGGACCAAAACCGAUAGUUGUAUGUUCAUCUAUCAAAAAUCUUUUUGACUAAUAAUACUGAAGAACCAAUGAGUAAGUCUAGCCAUAUUGAACUUAAAUAUACAUAUACAAUCUCUUAUGACCCAAUCAUCAUCCAAGAAGAAAUAAAAGAAUACAGAUCUGCCGACCAAAAUCCAGAUUUAACCAUGUCGAACAACAUUAAGGAGGACCUGAACAGGUGAUCAUGCAUUUUUUACCUAUUAGUUGGUUCGUCGCCCACGACAUGACAGACGAUCUGAGAUGGGCUUUGCGACAACUGUUGGGCAAUAUGAUCUCAGGUUCCUAGCACAAUAAAGGAAGAUUAUAGUCCUACUUAAAAAAUCCAUUUAACUGCACAAAAAGAUUUUUAGAAAACCACAACUUCUGUCAUUUUCUUUGUUUAACGACAACUUUUGGGGCAAACGAUCACAACUUCUUGGAGCCCCUCUCCUGUUCAGGAUUUGCCAAAAGCAUAAUGCAGAGUCAAAAAAAAAAGAUUACAUAUGAAUUGUAAGAAGAAGAAAAAUGUACGACAAUUAGUUGACAAGUUAAGGCAGAGUUAAAUAUUAUGCUACAGGAAAUUUGUGUCAUUCUGCUACAGAAAUAAUUUGCUAUGAACCCAAAAGCUAAAGGCAAAAUUUCUGUAAAUGGAGAACAAUUACAUGUCUAAUAUAUGUCCUCGCCUCCUCAUCCUCGAUACAUCACCAUCUGCUCCCAUCCUCCGGGAUUCGGCCAUGGCCGCCACCGACACCCUCCUCUCCAUCACCUAGAUGGAUUCGAGCAAGUUAGCGGGGCGGCAGCCAGAUCCACCAUGGCCGAGAUGGCCGCAUCGGGAGAGAGACACCUGGUGAUAUCUGGUGUUGGAUGGCGAAGCUGGACGUACAUGGUGGCAACAUCACCGGUUUCCAUGCGGGCUUGAAAAGCACGUGAUAAGAUGAUGGGUUAUCAUGCUCAUGUGACUUCUUCCCCAUCCCUGCUCCUCACUGAUUUAAUUUUGGUCGUUAAUGGUCAGCGGUUGAAGAGACCACUGGGAAUCACAAUAACGCCGUCGAGGUGGAGUUGUUUUGAUCUGCGAUAAUUUUGGACUUCGGGAGGAACUAGGAGAGCAGGGCAUGGCUCCAGGAUCGAUGUGAGGUUCA